AGAAUCAACGCUGGCGGCGUGCCUAACACAUGCAAGUCGAACGCGAAAGUCCCGCAAGGGAUUAGUAGAGUGGCAAACGGGUGAGUAACGCGUGGGUGACCUGCCUUCGAGUGGGGGAUAACGUUCCGAAAGGGACGCUAAUACCGCAUAACAUCCUGCCUUUUAAGAGGUGGACAUCAAAGCCUGGGACCGCAAGGCCAGGCGCUUGAAGAGGGCCCGCGUCUGAUUAGCUAGUUGGUGGGUAAUGGCUCACCAAGGCAUCGAUCAGUA
rnacentral:rRNA from 1 species